CUCUCUAUCUUUGUUCUUAUCUCAUUUCUCAGAGACUUAGAUCAAGCAUUGUCCUUCUUCAACUUCUUUCUUCUUCCUUUCACAAUAAACUCCUCCUUCUUCCUUUCCUCACAGUCAAAUCACCUCCCUCCACUGGCAUCUUCUUCUUCCUUUACCUCUCAUGGUCAAAUAAUUUAUCCACCACAAGCACCAAUCUCCACCAUAAGAACCACAAGAAUCAAAACCCACAAGCACGGACUCUAUUGACCCACAAGCACCGAUCUCCACUGCCAGCACCGAUCCACAAGCAUCAAAACCCAUUCCCAUCAACCCACAAGCACCGAUCUCUGCCGCCAACACCGAUUCACAAGCAUCUAGACCCAUUUCUUAUUUCAUAUUGUUGUGAGCACUACUUCUCUUUUUCCCUAUCAAUUCCAUAUUUCCAGUUUGAUUUUUUCUCUCUGAGAUUCAAUUCUAGUACACUUGGUGUAAAUCAUCAUUCUUUUGUCAAAUUUCCCAAUCAAACGUACGUACUCAAAACCAUUCAAAUUUAGUGCCCUCAGCUCAUCCGUGAACCUCCACUCAAAUUGCAAGCUUUCAUUCAUCUCUUAUCAUUCUUGUUAAUUUCGUCACAUCUUUGAUCUUUCUUACAUUUUGCUCUUCUUUUUUCAUCUUCUCAAUCUUUAGUCAACAGAUCAUAUCAAUGGUUUUCUUGACCAACGAAGGAGCCUCUUCUUCUUCUACCCACCGAUGGGACUAUGAUGUCUUCUUGAGCUUUCGAGGUGAAGAUACUCGUAAAAAUUUUACAGGCCAUUUAUAUAAGGCUUUGCGUGACCAGGGUUUUAACACCUUCAUCGAUGAUAGUCUUCAGAAGGGAGAAGAAAUUUCAAUGGAACUUGUUAAAGCCAUUGAAUCGUCAAUGAUUUCGAUUGUUGUAUUCUCUAAAAAAUUUGCAUCUUCUACUUGGUGCUUGAAUGAACUCGUCAAGAUUUUUGAGUGUAGAAGUAAUGGCCAAUUGGUUUAUCCAAUUUUUUACAAGGUGAGCCCAUCAGAAAUACGUAAACAAGAUGGAGAGUUUGGAAUUGCACUAGCUGAACAUGAAGAAAAAUUUAAAGAUGAUAGACAAAAGGUUCAGAGGUGGAGGAAAACUUUAACUGAAGCAGCUAAUUUGUCUGGAUUUCAUUACAAUGAUGGUUACACUGAAUCUGAAUCUGAGUUUAUCCAAAGAGUUAUAAAAGAGAUAUCAAGUACUAAAUCAAAUCAUGAGCCAUUAUUUGUUGCUAAACAUCCCGUUGGAAUAGACAUUCGAGCAAAGGCCGUAGAAUUGCUUUUAGAUAUGGAGUCAAAUGAUGUUUGCAUGGUAGGAAUUUGUGGUAUUGGGGGAAUAGGAAAGACUACGAUCUCAAAAGCUAUUUAUAAUAGAAUUGCUCACCGUUUUGAAGGAAGCUGUUUUUUAGAGAAUGUUAGAGAAAAGUCAAAAAUAAUUGGUGGCAUAACCCAACUACAAGAGACACUUCUUUCUAAGAUCUUACGAGAUAGAGAUUUGAAGGUGCAUAAUGUAUCUGAAGGUAUCAAUUUGAUAAAGAAAAGACUUUGUAGUAAAAAAGUUCUUUUAGUUCUCGAUGAUGUGAAAGAUUCAAAAGAGGUAGAAAAUUUGCUUGGAGAAUGUGAUUGGUUUGCUUCCGGAAGUAGAGUAAUUAUAACAACAAGAGACAAAACCACUUUGGGAAGAGAUCCUCAAUUAUAUGAGGUUACAAAAUUGAGUCAAUGUGAAGCUGUUGAACUUUUCAACCGGCAUGCCUUCCAAGCAAGUAAAUAUGGGGAAGAUUAUUCAGAACUUGCAGAACAGAUUAUAUGUUAUGCCAAUGGCCUACCAUUAGCUUUAAAAAUAAUUGGUUCUGAUUUGUGUGGAAAAAAUAUACAUGAAUGGAAAAGUGCAUUAGAAAAGUAUAAAAACAUUCCACAUGAAGAUAUUCAGGAAAUACUCAAAAUAAGUUAUGAUGGAUUGGAAAAAUUUGAAAAGGAAAUUUUUCUUGAUAUUGCAUGUUUUUUUAAGGGUUACAAGAAGGAUGAUGUUGUAAAUAUAUUAGAUUCUUGCAUUUUAUAUCCAGACUAUGGUAUUAAAAAGCUUAUAGAUAAGUGUCUCAUAACCUUGAAAUAUGACCAUAUGUCACGGUAUAACUCUUUGUCAAUGCAUGACUUGGUACAACAAAUGGGUAGAGAAAUUGUUCAGCAAGAAUCAGAAGAGCUUGAACAACGUAGUAGGAUAUGGCACUAUAAGGAUGCUUAUAAGUUACUAACUAGAAAUAUGGGAUCAAAUAAAAUUCGAGGUAUAAUGUUGCUCUCACCUGAACGAACAGAGGUGCCAUUGAAAGCUAAAGUUUUCAAGAGGAUGAAAAAUCUCAAAUUUCUCAUUGGCAAUGUACAUAUUGUUGAAGAACUUAAAUAUCUCCCAGAUGAGUUAAAGUUUCUUAAAUGGAGUGAAUUUUCUCUAUCCUUAUCGUCCAAAUGUUCUCUUCCUCAACAACUUGUUGUACUCAAUAUGUCUAACACAAACAUUAUAUUGGAGAACGUAUUCAAGCAGGGGAUCCAGUGCCAAAAUUUGAAAAUUAUGAAGUUUCAAGCAUGUCAAUCUAUUACAAAAUUACCUGACUUGUACUCCCCAAACUUAGAGGAACUGGACCUUUCCUUUUGUAAAAAUUUAAUUGAGGUUGACGAGUCUAUUGGAUUUCUUGAGAGGCUUAAAAAGUGGGAUCUCAGAUGCUGUGAAAAACUUCAAUUUCUUCCAAGUAUGCUCAUGUUGAAAUCUCUUGAACAUUUUGAACUAAGAUCCUGCUCAAGGCUUGAGAAGUUCCCCGAUAUUCACCCAGAAAUGAAAUGUCUAAAGAAAUUGAAUUUUUUUGGUGGUGGUAUUAGAGAAUUGCCUUUGUCACUGCUGUAUCUGACUGGACUUGCCACGUUAGAAGUUGGUUGCUGCUUACUUACGAAAAUUCCAGUUAGGGCCAAUAAAUCAGAAAUGCAGGAGGAAGGAGAUAUUCCUUCUGCCAAAUUGAGACUGGCGUGCAAUUCCUUUAAUAACUUUUCGGGACCUACUGGGUUUCUGUGCUUGACACAACUGGAUCUUACCUGGUGUCCAAUUGAAGUUGAAUUAGAUUCUUGGAUGCAGCCCGAUUACUUCCCAGUAUUGACAGAUUUGUCUCUUGCUUCUACUAGUAUUGUUACCAUCCCAGAAAGUAUUAGUAGAUUUACUAGAUUACUAUGUCUUAUAAUUCAUAAUUGCAAAAAGCUUGAGGAAAUUCCGAGACUUCCACAAUCUAUAAGAACUGUGGAUGCAAUGGGUUGCAGUCAGUUGAAUACACAAUCAUCAAGCAGAUUAUUGAAUCAGUUUCGAGAAAUUCUAGAGGAUCUAUCAAAUAUAGUCGUUGAAGCUGUAACAAGCUUUGAUUUCGACGGGUUUCAAUUUAGCAAGUAUCAUUAUCUUAUACUACCAGUAAUUGAGAUUCCAAAGUGGUUGAAAUUCAACCAUCAUGAGAGUGUUGGAAAGUCCGUAUCAUUCUUGGUCGGUCCCAAAUUUUCAAAUUUCGUUGUUUGUAUUGCUGUUCCAUCGAAGGAUAGGGAAAAAGGUAGUUUCAGUUGGGGAGUUGACAUUUUUAUCAAUGGUAAAAGACAAUGCAUAGCAGCGGACAACUGGUGGUCGAAUUAUAAAUCUGACCAUGUAUGGUUAAUUUAUGGGAAAGUGAAUAUAUCAAAUCCAUCUGAAGAGAAUCGCAUUAAGGUUAAGGUUACAGGUCCAUACAUUUACCGACGUAGGAUAAGGAUUUAUGUAGAAUGCAUCUGUUGUCCUCAAAAACCCAAUAUAUCUCCUGCCUCAUCUAUGGAUCAAUGUGCUUUCAACAAUGGGGAAGAAGAUUCAGGCCGUGUUGGAAUCCGACGCCGACUGCGAGGAAGAAACCAUCGACCAACCCAUGCUAGACGUCCCCAAAAACACUACCUGUCCCGCUUUGGAUGGCUUCGAAUCCGAUUCCAACUCUGGAAACGAAGCUCCAAACCCUGGAGACGACAAAUUACCAAUGGGUUUCAUGAUCAGGGUUCAUCUACAAUCCCCAAUACCUUUCUCAAUGAUGAUACCAAUGCCAAUCUGCAUCCACCAUCAAAGAAGACAAAAACGUGUUGAUCCAACUUUGAAGAGAAGAUGAUGCCCUGUUGCUAUUGAAGUAAUUGUCAAAAGAGCCUCGCUUCUCCAUAGCUAAUGCUCAGAUGGAAGAGUAGAACUUAGAGAUAUGGCUCUCAGAUGUGGGCUGCCCUGUGCAAGCUUGAACUUCUUUAAAUUCCUUAUUUCCUUUGGAAACUACAAAAUGAUUGUCUGCCAGUGAUUAGGGAGUUAGCAAAUAUGAAUCUCAUCAGACAUCACUGAUGCUUCUUGCCCUUCAUGUGCUAUAAAAGAGGGAUGCAACAAACACAUGGGAAGUGGACACUCCUAUUACAACACCUAAUGUACUUCACAGCAAUUUCUUGGCAGUAUAGCACAUGAUCAGAUGUUGAUGGUAUCAAGGAAAAAAAAUGGAAGUAAAGGAUCUGAUUUUAGCAGUUCAAGCAAGUUUCUUAGCUGAUUUAUAGCUAGAUUGGUGGUGUAGAUCUUUCAAUUUCAUCCAAUUCUAACACAAAAAAUCAUUUCAACUUUCUUUGGGUAAUCCUGUCUAUGACCUUCAUUUGGCAUCCUGAUGGCAAAGUAAUGUUUACCAUGUUGGUUGAUUUUUCUUUUCUUUUUCUUUUUUUGAAAGGAUUAUGAUGUAUUUAAUUUUGGUGUUUCAUGUUUUUUCUUUUCCUUUAUGGUCUAUACAUGGGAAGAAGAUUGUAAAGUAUUUAAGAUUGUUGUAAUUUUUUAUGUCUCUCCCUUUAUGUAUUUAAUUGUGUUUCCCUAGGAGGACUUGGUGAGGAUUAUAAAGUAUUUGAGUUUGGUA